rnacentral:misc_RNA from 1 species
UGAGUAUUUUUUUACUUUAUAAUUAAAACUUUAAGCUUAUUCCUAAUCAAUUAGUUACACCUAUUUAAGUUAUUCUUUUAUUUUAAAGUAAAUCUUGAUUGCAAGCUAAACAACUCUUGACUUAAUAGUAAACAUGUAAAAACUUGCUCGCGCCACGCCCGGGGCCUGUCGUCUAUCACAAAUAAAUAAGUUUUAAGUAAAAUCACGCAACACACGGGAGCGAAUGAGAUAGAGAUAUGGUGUAUGUUCGGACCGCAAUCCGAGCUAGCGCAGCGCAGCUACAAGAACGGGAAUUGCCCGCUUAAACUUACGACGCGAACGUUAUGCCUACUACCGCUUUAUUUCGAUACUGUAUUACCGAUAUGAUUCGGUUACCGAAUGAUUCUCUUACCGAUAUUUUGAUUCGAUAAGUACCGUUUUAUAAAGGUAAAUAACCCAUACCGGAAUAUCCCUGGUUGUAACGAUACGAGUGCGAGCCGUACCGAGUGUUGUGUACCGACUACCGAGUUCCGAGUGUUGUGUGCCGGGCGCUGUGCGGUGCUGUGCACAGCGCUCGCCGAAAUCGAACCAAACCCAAUAUUGUAAAUGUAAUUAAUUCGUUAUUCUCAACGAAGUUGACAAGUUGAUAUGUAUAUAACUGUAUAAACUAUAUUAGGCUAAUAACGAACAGAUGGCAGUGGUAGUGCAGCCUCUCGUAGGUAAAUAAUGAAUAAUUAGUCUUAAAAUGUUUUAUAUUAUUAUCUAAGUAUUUAAAUAAACCAGAGUAAAUAUUUUAAAAAAAAAAAAGAA